rnacentral:rRNA from 1 species
AUUGAACGCUGGCGGCAGGCCUAACACAUGCAAGUCGAGCGGAUGAAGGGAGCUUGCUCCUGGAUUCAGCGGCGGACGGGUGAGUAAUGCCUAGGAAUCUGCCUGGUAGUGGGGGAUAACGUCCGGAAACGGGCGCUAAUACCGCAUACGUCCUGAGGGAGAAAGUGGGGGAUCUUCGGACCUCACGCUAUCAGAUGAGCCUAGGUCGGAUUAGCUAGUUGGUGGGGUAAAGGCCUACCAAGGCGACGAUCCGUAACUGGUCUGAGAGGAUGAUCAGUCACACUGGAACUGAGACACGGUCCAGACUCCUACGGGAGGCAGCAGUGGGGAAUAUUGGACAAUGGGCGAAAGCCUGAUCCAGCAAUGCCGCGUGUGUGAAGAAGGUCUUCGGAUUGUAAAGCACUUUAAGUUGGGAGGAAGGGCAGUAAGUUAAUACCUUGAUGUUUUGACGUUACCAACAGAAUAAGCACCGGCUAACUUCGUG